rnacentral:rRNA from 1 species
GAUGCUAAUACCGGAUAACAACAGAUGAUGCCUAUCAACUGUUUAAAAGAUGGUUCUGCUAUCACUCUUGGAUGGACCUGCGGUGCAUUAGCUAGUUGGUAGGGUAACGGCCUACCAAGGCGAUGAUGCAUAGCCGAGUUGAGAGACUGAUCGGCCACAUUGGGACUGAGACACGGCCCAAACUCCUACGGGAGGCAGCAGAG